AGUUAAUCAGGGCAAUUUUUCCAUAAAUAGACAGGUAUUUACCUCUCCAUGGUUGCAGGAUCUUGUCUAUUUUUACAAGUUUUCUACUGAAAUUCAUUGUGGAGAGCUUAUAUCUUUUGUGAUAUGAAUACCGAGUAUGUCUACUUCACCAUCAGCCCAUUUUAUAGGUAAGCUGCAGGGUAAUGUAAAAGUUGUAUUUUUUAAGGAUCCAAUACAUAAUAUUGUAAACUUAUCAUAAUUAGUUUUUAGUCCAGAGAGUACAGGAAAGUUACCUAGAUCUUCAAUGAGACAUUGCAGGGAUCUAGAUUGUGGACUUGAGUCAUCGGCAUACAUGGACACCUUUGUUUUCAAGCCUUGGAUUUCUAAUCCUCUAAUGUUGUUAUUGGAUCUGAUUUUAAUAGUUAGCAUUUCGAUGGCCAUAAUGAAUAGAUAUGGUGUGUUUAACGCCUCUUGACUAUUCAAAACUCUGAGAAGUAGCCGUUAUUUACUAUUUUACACCUGGGGUUGUUAUACAUUAUUUUUACCCAUUUUAUUAGUGAAUUACCGAAAUUGAAAAAAUCCAGGCAUUUAUAAAUAAAAUCCAGUCUUACUUUUUCAAAUGCCUUUUCAAAAUCUGCUAUAAAUACCAUUCCUGGCUUCUUAUGUUUCAUGAUGUUCUAUUAUUUGUAGUUGUCGUAUAUUAUCUCCAGUGUAUCGUCCAUGUAAAAAACCUGUCUGAUCAGGAUGAACAAUACCUGGUAAAACCCUUUUAAUUCUCAGUGCUAUGCAUUUUGCUAGUAUUUUUGCAUCACAACAUUGAAGUGUAAGUGGCCUCCAGUUUUUUAGAUAGACUGGGUCUUUAUAUUUGCCAUCUGGGUCUUGUUUUAAUAAUAGAGAAAUCAGACCUUCCUGCUGAGUACCUGACAGACUACCAUUUCUAUAGGAGUAGUUAAAAUAAUCUAACAAUGGAGCUUUUAGUAUAUCAAAAAAUACUUGACAUAUCUCUACCGGUAUGCCAUCAAGCCCUGGGGUUUUUCCAGACUGAAAGGAUUUAAUAUCCUCAAAGUUCUUCCUCUGUAAUUUGGCCUUCACACUGACCUUUCUGUACAUUUGUUCAAUUUUCAAUUUUUUUAAUUAUUUGGAAAGAAUUCCUUACCGUAAUCUUCAUUCAGUGGGAGAGGAUGAGACGGAAAAGAGAACAUCUGCCUAAAAUAAUUAGCUUCCUCUUAAAAUAUAAUUUGGAGAAUCAUAGAUGACUCCGUUUUCAGUAACGAGAUUCUGCAAAUUAUUUUUGUUAGCGUUCCUGUAUUGGAGAUUCAGAAAGAAUUUGGUGCAUUUUUCUUCAUAUUCCAUCCAGUUUGCUUUAUUUUUGUAAUAGAUUACAUUAGAUCGUUCUUGAAUAAGUUCCUCAAGUUCUUUUUGUUUUUCCUCUAACUUAUUUUAUAUCUCUAGUAUUAUUUUUAUUGCCAUCUACCUGUACUUUUAGUUCAUGGAUUUCCCUUGUUAGUCUUUUCUCUUUAGCCAGAAAAUGCUUUUUUUUUUAUUGAUGAAUAUUGAAUUGAAUGACCCCUGAAGGUACAUUUAAAAGGUAUACCAAACAAUAAGGGGAUUUGCUGAACCUAUAUUAUACUGGAAAAAUUCAGUUACAAAUUAUUUUGUCUUAUUUUUAACUAAGUUGUCCUCCAGUAAAUUUUGAUUAAAUUUCCAAUAUCCCCAUCCACGUGGAAAAUCUAUAAGAGUUAUGUGAAUGCCAAUUAGAUGAUGAUCCGAUCGCAUUCUGUCUCCUACUAAAACUUUUUUAACCUUUGAUGCAAGAGAGAAAGAGACAAGAAAGUAGUCAAGACGACUAGCUUGAUUAAGUCUCCUCCAUGUAUAUCUCACUAGGUCUGGGUUUUUUAGUCUCCAAAUAUCCACUAUUUCUAAUGUGUCCAUAAUAUUUGUGAUUUCCUUAAGGGCACGGUGAUGAUAGUUUGUAGAGUGAUUACCUUUACGGUCCAUUGAGGUACUUAACACUGUGUUAUAGUCUCCUACCAUAAUGAUUAGAUCAUUUGUUGCCUGUAAGUUCAAUAAAUUGGUAUAAAUGUUUUCGAAGAAGUGUGGAUCAUCCUGAUUUGGACCAUAUAGAUUAAUGAGCCAAAUCAAUUUUUGGUCCGCUUUCAUAUUCAAAAGGAUCCACCUUCCUUGCGAAUCAUUCCUGACUAUUUGCACAUUCAGAUCGACACUUUUUUGUUAAUAUCAUCACACCCUUUGAGUUCCUUUGUCCAUGACAGAAAAUUAUUUCACCACCCCAUUUCUUUUUCCACGCAACUUCAUCUAAGGAUGUAGAGUGAGUUUCCUGUAAACAGUAUAUGUUAUAUUCCUUUUCUUUUAGCCAUGUAAAGACUGAUUUUUUAAAAAUAAUCUGCUAAAUCUUUACAAUUAUAACUGGCUAUACUUCACCCCUUACUAUAACAAGAUACUAUUCUCAGUCUAAAUUGACCAAAAUUAGUGCUUGUUAAGUUACUGCCAUCAGAGGUAUUAUGAAGGUCAAAGCUAGAGCUUUCAAAUGUCUGAUAUUUAGAAUUCAAGAAAUAGGUUCUAGCAAUAUUUGUUUUAUUCCCUUGCCUGUUUGCCUGUGAGCCAAUGCCACAGAUGUUAGAAAAUUGAGACAAGAUAUUAUGUGUGUAGUAAAUCUGAGUAGGUUGAUGUGUGUGAUAUUGGAUGUGAUUUAGUGAGAGUGUGUAUGGUGUCUGUAUAAGAGUAAGACUAUAAUGUGUGAUGUCCAAAUAAUAAUAACUGCCAAUUUGGAUGGCUGAGUGUCUAUGUGUGUAACAUGUAGCGUGUAUAGCCUUAAUAUUCAUGAUGAUAAUUGUAAUCCAUGUCGUAUCACCAUCAUAGUUGCAUCAUAAUUACCUUUAACAUAAUUGAAAAACACAUCCCAGCAUUUCCAUAGCAACAUGAUAAUGAAAGAGAUCUUGCAUUACUCUAGAGACGGCUUCACUACAGUACAAAUGUAUUCCAUACAAUAUGUUAUUAUUCCCCAAUGCCCCUAUUCUGAUAUCUUCCCCUUGCUUGUUGUAAACAUAUAUAAACUUGUAGACAAAUACAUAAAGAUAGACAAACAAACAUGAAUUAUAAAACAGUUUGACAAUAUAGAGAGAGGUAGAGAAAAGAGAGGAGAGAGUGAGAGAAGAGCGAGAUCAGGUGUGUGUGUGUGUGUGUGUGUGUGUGUGUGUGUGUGUGUGUAUGUAUGUAUAAGUCCGUAUGUGUAAGCAAGCAUGUAAUUGAGUACGUGUGUGUUCAUAUCCACUUCAUAAUGUUCAGAUAUUUUUACAGUUCCCAUAGCUUCUUUUUUUCGUAACCUGAAGUCCCUGUAGAAUUUAGUACAGCCACGGUGUUAUGGAGCUGUCUCGGAAUAGCUGUCCAUCUAUAAAGAGUUUGUCCACAAUGAUAAAGGCACACCUACCAUCCUUCCUUUGUUGUCUUUGUACUGGAUAGUCUCUUACAACGGCCGUUUAUCUCCCUUGGAAACUGGUCAUUGAGACCGAAUUUGGUCCCUUUCAGCUCCCUUCCCCUGCUUUUGAUCAGCUCCUUUUGUUGGUAGUGUUCAGAUUUUGUGAUGAUCGGUCGGGGACCCUUGGUCUUGUCGCCCCAAGUCUGUGUACUCGGUGGAAAGCCACCUUGUUUACAGUCUCUAGAGGAAGUUUCAAGGCGGAUUGCAUGAAUUCUCUGAUCGCACCCUCCGGAUUAUUGGAUGUGUCGUCAGGAAUCCCAGGAAAAAUAGAUUUUCACGCAUGCUACGACUUUGUAUGUCUAGUAGCGACUCCUUCAUCACCCUGUUUUCCCUGAGUAGACAAUCCAUGUUGGAAUCGUGGAUUUUUACCUUGGCUGUGAGUGUCUUGUUUCCUCUUUGGAGCGUGAGAAUUUCACUCUGGCUGAACUCCAAACUCCCCCUCAGCCCUGCUACCUCCUCACACAACUUUUCCAGUGUUGCAUGGAUUCCAGCCAGAGCACUAGCCACUACCUCAAUGGUUGAUGGUUUGGGGUGCAACAAGGGAGUCCCUCUCUGAGUGAGAGCUGGGGUGUCUGCCCCUCCUCCCUGAGUGGAACGUCCUGCCUCCCUUCCACUGGUGCUGUGGGUCGCUUCACUCAGACCCUCCUGGAAAGAGAGAAGAGGAGAGUUCAAACUGACCACUUGGUCUUUGCUUUGUAGCAUCAUUAAUGAAAAUAUCUUGUGUGUUGUGUGGGCUCCUGAGUUGCGUAGCGGUCUAAGGCACUGCAUCUCAGUGCCAGAAGCGUCACUACAGACCUGGUUCGUUUCCAGGCUGUAUCACAACCGGCCGUGAUUAGGAGUCCCAUAGGGCGGCGCACAAUUGGCCCAGCGUCGUUCGGGUUAGGGCUUGGCCGUCAUUGUAAAUAAGAAUUUUUUGUUCUUAAUGUUCUUAACUGACUUACCUAGUUAAAUAAAAGGUAAAAUAAAAAUUUCUGAUCAAUUUGAUGUUAUUUUAAAUGGACA
rnacentral:lncRNA from 1 species